UAGGCUUCACAUCCCAAGGAUCCUUUAGAGAUAGAGGAGUGAUAGUUUUCUAGAGCUUGGAGAC
rnacentral:rRNA from 1 species